GACGAACGCUGGCGGCGUGCCUAAUACAUGCAAGUAGAACGCUGAAGGAGGAGCUUGCUUCUCUGGAUGAGUUGCGAACGGGUGAGUAACGCGUAGGUAACCUGCCUGGUAGCGGGGGAUAACUAUUGGAAACGAUAGCUAAUACCGCAUAAUAUUGACUAUUGCAUGAUAGUCAGUUGAAAGGUGCAACUGCACCACUACCAGAUGGACCUGCGUUGUAUUAGCUAGUUGGUGGGGUAACGGCUCACCAAGGCGACGAUACAUAGCCGACCUGAGAGGGGGAUCGGCCACACUUGGACUGAGACCCGGCCCAGACUCCUACGGGAGGCAGCAGUAGGGAAUCUUCGGCAAUGGACGGAAGUCUGACCGAGCAACGCCGCGUGAGUGAAGAAGGUUUUCGGAUCGUAAAGCUCUGUUGUAAGAGAAGAACGAGUGUGAGAGUGGAAAGCUCACACUGUGACGGUAUCUAACCAGAAAGGGACGGCUAACUACGUG
rnacentral:rRNA from 1 species